GGCUUUUUGAUUAUAAUUUAAAGUCUYACCUGCUCAAUGAUUUUUAAAUAGCUGCAGUAUACUGACUGUGCAAAGGUAGCAUAAUCAUUAGUUUUUUAAUUGAAAGCUUGUAUGAAAGGUUUGACGAAAAAAGAUCUGUCUCUACUUAAAUUUUAAUGAAAUUUAUUUUUAAGUAAAAAAGCUUAAAUGAAGAUUGGGGACGAGAAGACCCUAUAGAGUUUUAUAUUUUAUUAUAUUUAAUGAUUAUAGAAUUGUUUAGUUAAAUAUAAUAAAUUAUUUUGUUGGGGUGAUAGAAAAAUUUAACAAACUUUUUUUUUAUAAAACAAUUGUAUUUGAAUAUAUGAUCUUAAAUAUAGAUUAAAAGAUUAAAUUACCUUAGGGAUAACAGCGUAAUAUUUUCUAGAGUUCUUAUCGAAAAAAAUGAUUGCGACCUCGAUGUUGGAUUAAAAUGAGUUAGUGGUGAAGAGGCUACUAAACUGAGUCUGUUCGACUUUUAAAAUUUUACAUGAUCUGAGUUUAGACCGGCGUGA
rnacentral:rRNA from 1 species